AACGCUAGCUACAGGCUUAACACAUGCAAGUCGAGGGGCAGCAUGGUCUUAGCUUGCUAAGGCCGAUGGCGACCGGCGCACGGGUGAGUAACACGUAUCCAACCUGCCGUCUACUCUUGGACAGCCUUCUGAAAGGAAGAUUAAUACAAGAUGGCAUCAUGAGUUCACAUGUUCACAUGAUUAAAGGUAUUCCGGUAGACGAUGGGGAUGCGUUCCAUUAGAUAGUAGGCGGGGUAACGGCCCACCUAGUCUUCGAUGGAUAGGGGUUCUGAGAGGAAGGUCCCCCACAUUGGAACUGAGACACGGUCCAGACUCCUACGGGAGGCAGCAGUGAGGAAUAUUGGUCAAUGGGCGCAGGCCUGAACCAGCCAAGUAGCGUGAAGGAUGACUGCCCUAUGGGUUGUAAACUUCUUUUAUAAAGGAAUAAAGUCGGGUAUGUAUACCCGUUUGUAUGUACUUUAUGAAUAAGGAUCGGCUAACUCCGUGCCAGCAGCCGCGGUAAUACGGAGGAUCCGAGCGUUAUCCGGAUUUAUUGGGUUUAAAGGGAGCGUAGAUGGAUGUUUAAGUCAGUUGUGAAAGUUUGCGGCUCAACCGUAAAAUUGCAGUUGAUACUGGAUAUCUUGAGUGCAGAUGAGGCAGGCGGAAUUCGUGGUGUAGCGGUGAAAUGCUUAGAUAUCACGAAGAACUCCGAUUG
rnacentral:rRNA from 1 species